rnacentral:rRNA from 1 species
AGCGAACGCUGGCGGCAGGCCUAACACAUGCAAGUCGAACGAACCUUUCGGGGUUAGUGGCGGACGGGUGAGUAACACGUGGGAACGUGCCUUUAGGUUCGGAAUAACUCAGGGAAAUUUGUGCUAAUACCGAAUGUGCCCUUCGGGGGAAAGAUUUAUCGCCUUUAGAGCGGCCCGCGUCUGAUUAGCUAGUUGGUUGAGGUAAUGGCUCACCAAGGCGACGAUCAGUAGCUGGUCUGAGAGGAGGAUCAGCCACAUUGGGACUGAGACACGGCCCAAACUCGUGCGGGAGGCAGCAGUGAGUAAUCUUGCGCAAUGGGCGAAAGCCUGACGCAGCCAUGCCGCGUGAAUGAUGAAGGUCUUAGAAUUGUAAAAUUCUUUCACCGGGGACGAUAAUGACGGUACCCGGAGAAGAAGCCCCGGCUAACUUCGUG